rnacentral:rRNA from 1 species
CUGGCGGCGUGCCUAACACAUGCAAGUCGAACGGAACUGUUUUGAAAGAUUUCUUCGGAAUGAAUUUGAUUUAGUUUAGUGGCGGACGGGUGAGUAACGCGUGAGUAACCUGCCUUCAAGAGGGGGAUAACAUUCUGAAAAGAAUGCUAAUACCGCAUGAUAUAUCGGAACCACAUGAUUUUGAUAUCAAAGAUUUUAUCGCUUGACGAUGGACUCGCGUCCGAUUAGUUAGUUGGUGAGGUAACGGCUCACCAAGACCGCGAUCGGUAGCCGGACUGAGAGGUUGAACGGCCACAUUGGGACUGAGACACGGCCCAGACUCCUACGGGAGGCAGCAGUGGGGGAUAUUGCGCAAUGGGGGCAACCCUGACGCAGCAACGCCGCGUGAAGGAUGAAGGUUUUCGGAUUGUAAACUUCUUUUAUUAAGGACGAAAAUUGACGGUACUUAAUGAAUAAGCUCCGGCUAACUACGUGCCAGCAGCCGCGGUAAUACGUAGGGAGCAAGCGUUGUCCGGAUUUACUGGGUGUAAAGGGUGCGUAGGCGGCUUUGCAAGUCGGAUGUGGAAUCUAUGGGCUCAACCCAUAAACUGCAUUUGAAACUGUAGAGCUUGAGUGAAGUAGAGGCAGGCGGAAUUCCCCGUGUAGCGGUGAAAUGCGUAGAGAUGGGGAGGAACACCAGUGGCGAAGGCGGCCU